GAGCCGGGGAUGGUUUCCCACUGGUUUCCAAAAGGAGAACUUCUCUGUGCUCUGCUGACUGCUGGAGCUCGCAGGCAGUGAUGCUGCAGCAUAUGUGGGAUGGCUGAGCUGAAUUGGCUACCUAUAAACACACCCCAGAUGUUAGCAGGGAAAAGGAAACUGGAAUACAUCAGGAAGCCUUUGGAGUAAAUCCCUCCCAUGGAGCCCCCUCCUCGAGCUGCUAAUGGCUGCGCUUCUCCAGGAGCCAUCAGGGAGGUGGGCGUGCUCUGGGCUGUGUGAUGCGUGUCAAGCACAGCUCUGAAGCCUUCUGGUCAGUGGGAGAUCCCCCAUGAGCUGAGAUGCAGUGGGCUGUAAAGCUGUGUGGUUGUUCUGGAGGCAAACCCUGUGGAGCUGUGCUGACUGAUGGUGUCUGGAUAAAGAGCUUAUGCCAUCUACAGAGGCAACCCAAAGAGAUAAUCAUCGCCCGCUGACAACCCCUCGCCAUCCAUCACCCGCGCGCGGCGGCUGUCAGCAGAUCCCAGCCCCUACCUGGGGGGAGAGGCACUGCCACUGAGGCAUCUCACAGCACUGUGCAGCAGGAGGAUGGCAGAUAACUUCAGUCAGCUCGAGAGAUUGAUAUGCAAGGCAAAGGGAAGUGCAUUAAGCUAUUUAACUGCCUGGAAAUCCAGCGUGAUGAACAUCCAAAGGAAAACUUACUUUGUCCAAACCAAGUGCUCAAGUGACAACGAAGUCAAGUGCUUGCAAGCUGGCUCUCCUACCCUUCAGUAUGGCUGCUACCUAUAUAUUGUGGAACGAAUGGAGCUGAGGUCAUGGCCCCUGUAGCUGCUCCACGAAAUAUGUCCACUGGGAACUUCACGGAUUGGCCCCCUGCCCCUCCACUGCCCACGAAUACGUACAGAAAAUUCUGGAAGCUCUGUUGAACUGUGGUCACAGGAGGAAUUCUGAGCGCAGAGAUGAGAAUUGAGAAUUGCUGCAAGCUUUCUGGCUGUAAAAAAAAAAAAAAAAAAAAAAAAAAGUAUGGAAAAGUCCCCAUGAUUUUCUGGCUGGAGCAUCUAGAAAGAAACGGAUAUGGUCCCCAGCAGAAGUGUGAGCUGAGGUUACCCUGACAUGGUAUUGACUUGACAGCUCCUUCAGGCUCAGCUGUCUUCUGGGCUUCUUUCAGUUGCAAAACGUGCUGAGCCAGAAGUAGGAAAAUAGAAAAUGAUGACUUUAAACUUCACCACACCUAAAAUCACAGUAAGUAUUUAUACUUCAAAUGCUUUUUUUAAUACCUCCAUCUGUGUUUUACUUGGUUCACAUGUUCAGAUUAUUCUCUAAGUUUGUGACAAAACUUUUAUUAUGUAUGUAUGUACAUUAAUGAAAGCUCAGUUUGUUAACUAAUCUCCAGCUAUUGGGAACCAGGUCCUUCCAGAAAAACGUAAAUGUGCAGCAAAGCAAUGAAACAAGCCACAGUCAGUAAGUAAACUGGGCAUCCUGCUUUUAGAGUUAUUAGUGUCAGCAUUUUGUUGCGUUGUUUUAGAGGUGUUGAGGAACUAUUUCCCCAAGUGAUGUUGGGAUCCUCAGUGGGGGCUCCACAUCUCCGUACUUCAGGCAUCUCAAUCGAAGCAGCCAAAAACUGGGUCAAGGCAACGCUCCAAAAUUUUAGUGGUGAGCCUCCAAAAUUCAAGACACUCGGGGAAUGUGUGUUGGGAAUAAUAUGAGAGCGCUGGGGGAAAAAAAACGAUGGAGAAGGAGUACUUAAUUUGUACCAAAUAUUGAUAUUUCAAAAUUUGGUACUGUCAGUUUGGAACAAAGCACACUGUCUGUUUUUAAACCCCUGUGAAAGUCGAGCCAGUUGCCUUUGAGCUUCAGACGCUGUCUGAACCCAUAGGUUCCUAACUUGCCACAAGGCAAUCCAUAUAGCUGGCUGCUUUGAAUCUGCAGGCACGGGGAAUUUUGGAUGCCGGCUUUCAAGGAGUCUCCCCACUGGGUUGCACUGGAACCUGGAAUUGGAGAACGUGGGUUGGCAAGAGCUGAGGUGUCUGGGAGCUGCCGAGCAGCCCCGGAGGCUUCCCAAAUUCCGCUCCCCACCAUCCCGUCUGGGAGGACAGAGGAAGCUGGGCAGCAUUUCUCAGCUCAAAACCUCAGAAUUUGGGAUCCGGGCCCCUGAAACUUUCACCCCCUGUUCCUGGACGGCUGUGGCACGCAGCUGGAGUGCAGAAAGGCGAACUGGCCUCAGCGGAGGCACCUGGUGGCUCUGCAGGUGGCCCCAGGCUGCCGUGUGCUGCUCAGCACCAUUUUGGGGCAAUUUAUCGCAGGAUCAGAGCACUGAGGAGCUACUGUUUGUAUUCGGAUGGGCUCCCUUUCAGCAUGAGGGGGCAAUGCCGGAGGCUGGGCAGCGAGACAGCCCUGUCUGCCCAGCAGUGGAACGGAGGAGCUGGCUAUUCACCUGGAUGCCGUCCUGAGUUAGUCAAAACCAGAGCCUCUCUGCAAAGCACCUAGACCUGAACACACAGUGGUUCUCUGACAAAAAUGUUCCGUCGGAGAACUUCUGACCAGGUCUGGUGGUAAACAGGCUCAAACGACACUCUGGAGAUGAUACAGGGCAAAAAUUAUUCGGGUCCCUGGUCUGCAGAGUGGGAGGAUGAGGGAAGAGAACAGUAAAUUGAAGAGGUUGAAACUGCUGAUUGUCCGAGCCUGACUGAGUGGUGCUCAGCUGUGUGGAAAGAUGUGUGGCAGUUGUUUGCGUUAUUUUUCUUUUUUUUUUCCACAGAAAACAGCCGCCACGAGAGCCGCAUCCCCAUUGCCACGGCUGAGGGUCCCCGCGCUGAGGGGGCCCUGAGGGGCGCUCCCCGCCCCGCGCUCUGAGGGGCUGUGAGGCGGGAAGGCCGCGCGGCCCCGCGCUGCUCAGGGCUCGCCUUUCCGCGGCGCCGUAGCGGGGCUGAGAGAGGAGAGCCGAGGGGCCCCUGCCCCGAGCGGGGAGGGGGGGAGCGGAGUUCCCGGCGGGCCGGCCGCCUCCCCGCCCUCCCCCGGCGGCGUGAGUGAGCGUGUUUGGGAGGGAAGGAGGGGGUGGAAGCCGGGCCGGGGCGGCCAGCAGGCAAUUUGCAUGAGAGACAGACUGGGAAUGAGCUGGAGUGGGCGCCUCUCCGCGCACACAGAGCGGGGCAGGAGGGGGAGGAGGAGGGAGCUGCCGCCGCCGCCGCCGCCGGGGAGAGGCGGCGAACUCCGGGCAAAGUUUGGUGCCGCGGGCCCGAGGCGCUGAGGCGGCGGAGAG
ensembl:lncRNA